GAUCAAGUUGAAAAGGGUAUACGGUGGAUGCCUUGGUACCAGUAGGCGAAGAAGGACGUGGUUAACUGCGAUAAGCCUCGGGGAGCCGUAAGCAGGCUGUGAUCCGGGGAUCUCCCAAUGGGGAAACCCACCCGAGCAAACCUCGGGUAUCCUGGUCUGAAUCCAUAGGACCAGGAGGCGACACGGGGGGAAUUGAAACAUCUUAGUACCCCCAGGAAGAGAAAGUAAUAACGAUUCCCUAAGUAGCGGCGAGCGAACGGGGAAGAGCCCAAACGCAGGAGGUGUGAUAGCCGGCAGGCGUUGCCUCUUGCGGGUUGUGGGGCCUGAUAGGUCUCUGCUGCCGCAGAGACAGAGAGUUACCAAAUCAUUGGUUAGCCAAAGUGAGCUUGGAAAACUCCACCCAAGCGGGUGAUAGUCCCUUAGGCGAAAGCUAAUGAUCUCUCCUUCAGGUUCCCGAGUAGCACGGGUUAAGGGAAGUCCUGUGUGAAGCUGGGAGGACCACCUCCCAAGGCUAAAUACUAACUGGUGACCGAUAGUGCACUAGUACCGUGAGGGAAAGGUGAAAAGUACCCCGGGAGGGGAGUGAAAUAGUACCUGAAACCGUGUACCUACAAGCAGUGGAAGCCCGAUGCUCUCAACUUUAGUUGAGAGCCGGGUGACCGCGUGCCUUUUGUAGAAUGAGCCGGCGAGUUACGCUAACCAGCCAGGUUAAGCAGCUGCUGCUGCGGAGCCGUAGCGAAAGCGAGUCUGAAUAGGGCGUCUUAGUUGGUUGGCGUAGACCCGAAACCGGGUGAUCUAUCCAUGGCCAGGGUGAAGCCUGUCUAACCGCAGGUGGAGGCCCGCACCCACUAAUGUUGAAAAAUUAGGGGAUGAGCUGUGGAUAGGGGUGAAAGGCCAAUCAAACCCGGCGAUAGCUGGUUCUCCUCGAAAUAGCUUGAGGGCUAGCCUCAAACGUUGUCCCAGGGAGGUAGAGCACUGAAUGGACUAAGGGCCCUACCAGGUUACUGAACCCAAUCAAACUCCGAAUACCCUGGGUACUAGUUUGGGAGUCAGACUGCGGGGGAUAAGCUCCGUAGUCGAGAGGGAAACAACCCAGACCAUAAGCUAAGGUCCCCAAGUGCAGACUAAGUGGUAAAGGAAGUUGAAUUACCCAGACAGCCAGGAUGUUGGCUCAGAGGCAGCCAUCAUUUAAAAAGUGCGUAACAGCUUACUGGUUAAGUGAUUCUGCACCGAAAAAUGUACGGGGCUAAGUCUGCCACCGAAGCUGUGGAUACAGAGGUCAGUGUUCAGAGGUCAGAGGUCGGAAAGGGAAAGUAAGAGUGAUAAGACACUAUAGUGAUUUAAGGAUAUAUCAAAUAUCGUAUAGAUUAGCACUACUGAUUCACCAUAUGACUCAGCAAUUUCCGGACUUCGAGAGAUAUGAACUAUCUUCACAAUUAAGAAGAGCUGCUAUAUCUAUACCACUUAAUAUAGCAGAGGGUUAUGGUAAGAAACAUUCCCAAGCAGAUUUCAAAAGAUUCCUGAAUAUUGCCUUGGGAUCUAAUAAUGAGGUAAAGGUGUUAUUAGAUUUCAGCAAGGACUUGGGAUAUCUCAAGGAAUCAGUUUAUGAAGAGAUGACCAAUCAGUAUGAUGAGUUGGGUAGACAGAUCUAUUCACUUCUGAGUAAGUGGAAAUAGUCUCUGACUUCUGACCUCUGACUACUGACCUCUGUCUGGUAGAGGAGCGUUCCCUUGAGGUAGAAGGGUUACCGAAAGGAGGCCUGGACUUAAGGGAAGUGAGAAUGCCGGCAUGAGUAACGAGAAGGCAAGUGAGAAUCUUGCCCGCCGAAAACCUAAGGUUUCCUGGGGAAGGUAAGUCCGCCCAGGGUUAGUCGGGCCCUAAGCCGAGGCCGAAAGGCGUAGGCGAUGGAUAACCGGUUAAUAUUCCGGUACUACCAACUGAUCGCUAUGGAGUGAUGGGGUGACCCAGGAGGGUAGGUCAGCACGAUAAAAGUUCCGUGUCCAAGCCCCCAGAGGGAAGAGACAGGCAAAUCCGUCUCUUUGUUAACCUCCAGAGGUGAUGGGGAGCUGCUACGGCGGCGAACUGAUUGAGCCCACACUGGCCAGAAAAACCUCUAACCAGAUCAGCUGGUAUCCGUACUAAAACCGACACAGGUAGGUAGGUAGAGCAUACCGAGGCGCUCGAGAGAACCCUCGUUAAGGAACUCGGCAAAAUGACUCCGUAACUUCGGGAGAAGGAGUGCCUCCUUAGGGUGAGUUGUUUUACAUAACAAGCCCGAAGAGGCUGCAAUAAAACGGCCCAAGCGACUGUUUACUAAAAACACAGGUCUCUGCAAAAUCGUAAGAUGAGGUAUAGGGACUGACGCCUGCCCGGUGCUGGAAGGUUAAGGAAGGGAGUUAGCUGACUCGCAAGGGUCAGGGAAGCUUCUGACCAAAGCCCCAGUAAACGGCGGCCGUAACUAUAACGGUCCUAAGGUAGCGAAAUUCCUUGUCGGGUAAGUUCCGACCCGCACGAAUGGCGUAACGAUUUGGGCACUGUCUCAACGAGGGACUCGGUGAAAUUGUAAUGCAAGUGAAGAUGCUUGCUACCCGCGACAGGACGGAAAGACCCCGUGAACCUUUACUAUAGCCUGAUAUUGAAUUUUAGCAUUCCCUGUGUAGGAUAGGUGGGAGGCACUGAACAGGAGGCGCCAGCCUUCUGGGAGCCAACCUUGAAAUACCACCCUCGGUCUGUUGAGAUUCUAACCCCAGGCCGUUAGCCGGCUGGGGGACCGUAUUUGGUGGGUAGUUUGACUGGGGCGGUCACCUCCUAAAGAGUAACGGAGGUGUCCCAAGGUCUCCUCAGUGUGUUUGGAAAUCACACUAAAGAGUAUAAGGGCAUAAGGAGGCUUGACUGUGAGAGAGACAUCUCGAGCAGAUGCGAAAGCAGGGCCUAGUGAUCCGGCGGUAGCUGGUGGAUGUGCCGUCGCUCAUCGGACAAAAGGUACUCCGGGGAUAACAGGCUGAUCUCCCCCAAGAGUCCACAUCGACGGGGAGGUUUGGCACCUCGAUGUCGGCUCGUCGCAUCCUGGGGCUGAAGCAGGUCCCAAGGGUUUGGCUGUUCGCCAAUUAAAGCGGUACGCGAGCUGGGUUUAGAACGUCGUGAGACAGUUCGGUCCCUAUCCGUCGCGGGCGUGGGAUACUUGAGAGGGUCUGCCUCUAGUACGAGAGGACCGAGGUGGACGAACCGCUGGUGUACCAGUUGUCCUGCUCAGGGCAUUGCUGGGUAGCUAUGUUCGGUUGGGAGAAACGCUGAAAGCAUCUAAGCGUGAAACCCGCCUCAAGAUGAGGUAUCCAUCUGGCUUGAAGCCAGGAGAGAUCCCGGGAAGAAGACCCGGUUGAUAGGUCAGCUGUGGAAGACCAGUAAUGGUUUGAGCUAACUGAUCCUAAUAGAUCGAAGGCUUGACCGU
rnacentral:ncRNA from 19 species